AUACGGAGGGAGCAAGCGUUAUUCGGAAUCACUGGGCGUAAAGGACGCGUAGGCGGGUUUGUAAGUCAGGUGUGAAAUCCUACAGCUCAACUGUAGAACUGCACUUGAAACCACAGACCUAGAGUAUGGAAGGGGCAGAUGGAAUUAGUGGUGUAGGGGUAAAAUCCGUAGAUAUCACUAGGAAUACCGAAAGCGAAGGCGAUCUGCUGGGACAUUACUGACGCUGAGGCGUGAAAGCGUGGGGAGCAAACAGGAUUAGAAACCCUAGUAGUCC
rnacentral:rRNA from 1 species